CCCUGCCAUUUGUACACACCGCCCGUCGCUACUACCGAUUGGCAGGCUUUUUGAGGCGUUCGGAGAGCCUAUAAGGCGCCGGCAACGGUACCUGAUUGGUUCAAAGUUCUACGAAAAUGGUCUGCUAG
rnacentral:rRNA from 1 species